UUUUUAUUUUAUGUAUUUAUUUAUCUUAUUUUAGUUAGUGAAUUAAAAAAAAGAUUUUAAACACGUUCUUUGAGGUUGGAGCCUUGGUCUGUGAAGCGUAUAAGAACGCAGUUGGGUGUUAGUGAAGGUUAUACAAAUGGUUCUGGUAAUAGGGUGAGCGUAUUGGUUUGUGGGCACUAUAAGAAGCGCCAUUCGGGCA
rnacentral:lncRNA from 1 species